GGGCGGGUGGCGGAAUCGGUAGACGCGCUAGCUUGAGGGGCUAGUGGGAGCAAUCCCGUGGAGGUUCAAGUCCUCUCUCGCCCACCA
rnacentral:tRNA from 1 species